CGGGCCCCCGCGGAGGAGCUGAGGGUGCGAGAGGCUCUUUUACCCAGGCAGGGGGGCAGAAAAUGCAGGGGUGAUGAAGUGCUAGAGCGGCGCUUGCUGGUUGAGACGGCAUGGGGCGAUGGACCAUCUGUUUCAGGGAUCUGAUCCAGAGGAGAAACAGAGGAAGUCAGAGGGGAGUUGGCUUCAUACAUCUUAGUGAAACAGAAACCACAUGUCGGCUGAUGGGCAGGUAGAUGUGGGCUGGCGGUCGUGUAUGAGUUGCCCUGUAACAGAUGGCAUUACAGCUGCCUGGGUGGUACAUCUACAAAAUAAACCCACUAUUGUAUUGCCAAUCCAGAGGACCAGGACAAACCGGUUGUGGUAAAGCAGACACUUAGAGUCUGGUACUGGCGUAAUGCCUUGUUCUGGGGCACAUUUGUGAGGCUUUAUAAGAAAGAUUCGAUUUUACAUGUUAUUCUUAAUUUCCAGACACACCAAGAGUGAUUUACACAACUUUUUUUACUGCAGGCACAAUCACUCAUUUAGGGGUUUGAACCUAUAACCUUUUGAUUUACCAGUCUAAACACUAAGCCACAACCCUUGUGUAAGCAAAACUUGCAACAUAAAGUCAGGUUCAAUUUGUAGCUUAUUCUGGCCAAGAACAGCCACUAAGUUGCCCCAGAUGUGAAGAAACCAACUUUUUUGUUUUGUUUUUGUGUGUUGUUUAGAGGCGGGUUUAUCACAAAUACAGUAUACCACAGUAAGAGGCCUCAUUGUAAAAACUUAAUCAAAUAUGCCUGCCACAAAACAGCAUGCAGCCAAUGCUUUCAUAUUGCUCAAGUUCUGAAAAUAUCUUGCAUUCCUGUUAUUGUGUGGGAUGACUUUUAACACCAAUAAAAUGUCCUGGUUGGU